CCUACGGGUGGCAGCAGUGGGGAAUAUUGCACAAUGGGGGAAACCCUGAUGCAGCGACGCCGCGUGAGGGAAGAAAGAUUUCUGUAUGUAAAGCUCUAUCAGCAGGGAAGAAAAUGACAGUACCUGACCAAGAAGCCCCGGCUAACUACGUGCCAGCAGCCGCGGUAAUACCUAGGGGGCAAGCGUUAUCCGGAUUUACUGGGUGUAAAGGGAGCGUAGACGGUUAUGUAAGUCUGGAGUGAAUGCCCGGGGCCCAAACCCGGGACUGCAGUGGAUACUGUGUAACUGGAGUACAGGAGGGGCAGGCGGAAUUCCUGGUGUAGCGGUGAAAUGCGUAGAUAUCAGGAGGAACACCGGCGGCGAAGGCGGCCUGCUGGACUGAAACUGACGUUGAGGCACGAAAGCGUGGGGAGCGAACAGGAUUAGAUACCCGGGUAGUC
rnacentral:rRNA from 1 species